rnacentral:lncRNA from 1 species
GGAGUUUCAAUCUCCAGUUGGUCAGGGAGAGAGUAAGCAGCAUCAACUUCAACAAGCACUCUAGCAAAUGAAAUUUUAUCAUAAUGUGCAGUAAAUUUGUCAGUAUACAAUGGUUUUCCAAUAGCACUAGCCAUCUUGCUCAAGACCUCGGUAGACCAAUAUCCAACUGGAAGGCCUGGGAAACGAAUCCAAAUAGGGACAGUCCUGAGUACAUCACUCUGAAAAUUGAAAUCAACUUCCCAUGGCCUCAACUCCAUUGGCCUAUUCCUAAAAGUAUAGGGACCUGAUUGCAUGACUGAAUCCCUGUCCUCAGCAC